GUAGGGUGCGAGCGUUAAUCGGAAUUACUGGGCGUAAAGCGUGCGCAGGCGGUUCGCAAAGUCUGAUGUGAAAGCCCCGGGCUCAACCUGGGAACUGCAUUGGAAACUAACGGGCUCGAGUGUGGCAGAGGGGGGUGGAAUUCCACGUGUAGCAGUGAAAUGCGUAGAGAUGUGGAGGAACACCGAUGGCGAAGGCAGCCCCCUGGGCUAACACUGACGCUCAGGCACGAAAGCGUGGGGAGCAAACAGGAUUAGAUACCCUGGUAGUCCACGCCCUAAACGAUGUCAACUGGGUGUUGGGGGAGCGAUUCCUCAGUACCGUAGCUAACGCGUGAAGUUGACCGCCUGGGGAGUACGGCCGCAAGGUUA
rnacentral:rRNA from 1 species